rnacentral:rRNA from 1 species
GACGAACGCUGGCGACGUGCUUAACACAUGCAAGUCGAACGGUGAAAGGGAGCUUGCUCCCUGGAUCAGUGGCGAACGGGUGAGUAACACGUGGGCAACCUGCCCCAGACUUCGGGAUAACGCUUCGAAAGAGGUGCUAAUACCGGAUACGAACUCCUUGGGCAUCCUUGGAGUUGGAAAGUUUUUCGGUCUGGGAUGGGCCCGCGGCCUAUCAGCUUGUUGGUGAGGUAACGGCUCACCAAGGCGACGACGGGUAGCCGGCCUGAGAGGGCGACCGGCCACACUGGGACUGAGACACGGCCCAGACUCCUACGGGAGGCAGCAGUGGGGAAUAUUGCGCAAUGGGCGAAAGCCUGACGCAGCAACGCCGCGUGAGGGAUGACGGCCUUCGGGUUGUAAACCUCUUUCAGCAGGGAAGAAGCGAAAGUGACGGUACCUGCAGAAGAAGCACCGGCUAACUACGUGCCAGCCGCCGCCGUAACAC